rnacentral:tRNA from 1 species
GAGGCCGUAGUGUAAAGGUUAGCACUCCAGGUUGUGACCCUGGCGGCGGCGGUUCGAAUCCGCUCGGUCUCCCA